GUAGGGAAUCUUCCGCAAUGGGCGAAAGCCUGACGGAGCAAUGCCGCGUGAACGAUGAAGGCCUUCGGGUCGUAAAGUUCUGUUGUGGGGGAAGAAAUCUAGUUGGGAUAACACUCCAGCUAGUUUGACGGUACUCCACGAGGAAGCCCCGGCUAAUUACGUGCCAGCAGCCGCGGUAAUACGUAAGGGGCAAGCGUUGUCCGGAAUCACUGGGCGUAAAGCGCACGUAGGCGGUUUAGCAAGUUAGGGGUGCAAGCUCCAGGCUUAACCUGGAAACUGCCUCUAAAACUACUUCACUUGAGUAUUAGAGGGGAAGCUGGAAUUCACGGUGUAGCGGUGAAAUGCGUAGAUAUCGUGGAGAACACCCGUGGCGAAGGCGGGCUUCUGGCUAAUAACUGACGCUGAGGUGCGAAAGCUAGGGGAGCGAACGGGAUUAGAAACCCUGGUAGUCC
rnacentral:rRNA from 1 species